GAGGGUGUAGCUCAGUGGUAGAGUGUGUGCUUAGCAUGCACAAGGUCCUGGGUUCAAUCCCCAGUACCUCCA
rnacentral:tRNA from 2 species